AGUCAUGUUCAAUGUUAUUACGCAGACAAGGCAGUUGUGUGAGGUAUUUUUAUUUUAUUUUAUCUUAUUUUUUCUAAUUUUCCUCUUUUAUACUUUCCAGGAUCUAUUUCAAGUCAUCAACAGCUUUGGAUAUUUUCUCUUGAGCCAAAGAAAACAAAAUCUGCAAUUAGCAGUUUCUCAGCUGUUAAAAGGAAGCAUAUCAGGAAUCAUAGAUCAGCCUCAGCCUCACAUGGAAAUGAGCCAGCAUGACCUCCUCAAGAAAAAAAAAGCUAGUCAUCUGUAUCUCUGAUGAAUAAGUGAAGAUGGACUUUGAGGCUUCAUAGUCCUUUUUCUUCUAUUUUAUAACACAUGUACAUGCAAUCAGUCAAGUUUUCUUCUGGCACCUCAGCCUCCCACCUGUUUCCAAAUCAGCUUAAACCAAGAAAUCUGCAUGUAAAAAAAAAAUAAAGUAAAAGAAAAAAAUCAGUUUUCCUUUGAGUGGAAUCAAGACCUGAAUCAAGACCCUUAGAUGAGCAGCAUGUCAAGUUCUGAUGGCCGGGCUCCUCUGCUGACCCUCUAACAUCUCAAAGUUCCGAAAACGUUCACUCCAGUUUCAUCCUUGCUCAUCUUUGACUCUUUUCUGUCUCUACUUUGGCUCUAUCCAAAAGCUAGGCUGUUUGCUGUUGUAUCAUCCCCCCAAGUCUUACAAUUGGAAAGUAGAUUUUUUCUUUCUAGUGCUACUUCUUUACUACCAAAACAAGAUUCUGGCCUAUAUAUAAUUCUGAUUGGUAGCUAGAAUAUUACCAUUUGUGGUUAAAUGUAUUAAAAUAUAGAUUUCUUAA